ACAGAAACGCCGCUUGGCCUUUGGACUACACCAUCUGUCGCUCGCUCUAACGAGCCGGCGUUGCCGCCAGGGGACGCUCGGGCCGCAGGAGGUCGCUGGGUCGUGAGCUGGCGCCGGGGACGCCGAGCGACUGCGGGGUUUCCCUCAGCGUCCUGCUAUCCGGCUGCCCGCCGCGCUCCUUGGUAGUGUCCGUGGGCGCGCAGGCCUUGAAGAACCUCCUCGUGGCGGGACCCCGAGCGCAGGAGAGGUGUCAAAGAGCUGGCGCGUCUCCAGAGCCCCGGGAGGAAGGCUGUAACGGCAGCCCCAUCGUAGACAGGGACAUUCGCAUCCCGAGCCCUGGAUCUCUGAAAACCAGCCCAGAAUUUGGAAGCUGGAAGGAACUUUAGAUCGUCCAUUCUGAGUGUCUCUCUUCGCUGGCGUUUUCCCACUGAGGUUAUGUAAACAUGAAGAGGAGCCUACAAGUGUCAAGGAAAAAACGACAGCUAACCACAGGGCAGGCCAUGGGCAAGAUAUCUCAGUGUUCUCCGCUCUCAUAGGUCAGGUCACGACCCCCAGGAGACCUGGAGGACUGAAUGCUGCUGCCCCCAAGGAGGAGGCUGCCGUCUUAUCCCAGGAGGGAGAGCAGGUGAAGUCCCCAGGGGAGGAAGCACCUAGCCCCAUUCCUGCUGAGCAGGAGGUGGCAGGUACCCCAGACUGGGAGGUAAGGACAGCCCGGGGCUUCGACUGAACGUCUCCAGCGUGGGUCCAACUGAGCAGCCAUGGAGCACUGCAGAGUGGGAGGCAGCAGGGCAGGGAGGCAGUGCUGGAGGCUGGCUCAACCCCAAGACCAGCAGGCCAAGCUGCCAUCCCAGGGGAGCGAGGACGUCUGUGCAGAGCUGAGAGGCAGCAGCCAUGUGUGAACAGACUGGGCCUCAUCCUGGCCCCACCGACUUUGUGUGGACAGAGCCUGUUUCCCUGUCUGUGCAACACAGAACCUGCCUGAUCUCACUGCUGGAUCCCUCUUCUUCCUGCCAGGAAAAUAAAAAGGUUCAAAAGGAAGUUGCUGCGUAUCCAUCUGAGGCCUCUGAGGACAGCAAAGAGCAAAGGCCCUGGGACCGGGUCUACGUGCCCAUGACAGAGCUCUGGCUGGACUGGUUCUGAGCCUCUAACACCCCCAAGACUCAGAACCGUGAAGAAAAUCUUUCCAAUAAAUCCAAGAGUUGCUGCUGCUAUAGGCCAGGCUGCCACCUUUCGGGGCCUCCGUCUUCAGACAAACCCAGCCUGGCUUCAUCCACACUCCCUGUCCCCACAGCUGCAGGAACAGCACUUCCUGCCACCGAGCCGUGUGACCACAGUGGAUUGUCUCUGGAGGGGCCCAAGGGGGCCCUGGCCACCCUUCUGACUGACUCGGUGCCAGGGGACAGACCAACGUCCCUCUCGUGCUGACAGCCGGGCCGCACCCUGGCAUGAGGGCAUUUACAGAAAUGCUGGCGGAACUGCUGCCAGGGAGGCUGUAGGGUCCUCUGGCAAAAGAGGCCUCAGGUGGCUCCUCA
rnacentral:lncRNA from 1 species